AUGCUAAAUAAAGACAGAGGUAUGUAUAUUAUCAAUAUAGUCAGAGGUAGCUACAUUAUCAAUAAUGACAUGCAAAAUAAAGACAGAGGUAGCUACAUUAUCAAUAAAGACAUGCAAAAUAAAGACAGAGGUAUGUGCACUAUCAUAAAAGACAGAGGUAGCUACAUCAUCAAUAAAGACAGAGGUAGCUACAUCAUCAAUAAAGACAGAGGUAGCUACAUCAUCAAAAAAGACGGAGGUAGCUCCAUCAAUAAAGACAGAGGUAGCUACAUCAUCAAUAAAGACGGAGGUAGCUACAUCAUCAAUAAAGACAGAGGUAGCUCCAUCAAUAAAGACGGAGGUAGCUCCAUCAAUAAAGACAGAGGUAGCUACAUCAAUAAAGACAGAGGUAGCUCCAUCAUCAAUAAAGACAGAGGUAGCUACAUCAUCAAUAAAGACAGAGGUAGCUACAUCAUCAAUAAAGACGGAGGUAGCUACAUCAUCAAUAAAGACGGAGGUAGCUCCAUCAAUAAAGACAGAGGUAGCUCCAUCAUCAAUAAAGACAGAGGUAGCUACAUCAUCAAUAAAGACAGAGGUAGCUCCAUCAAUAAAGACGGAGGUAGCUACAUCAUCAAUAAAGACGGAGGUAGCUCCAUCAAUAAAGACAGAGGUAGCUACAUCAUCAAUAAAGACAGAGGUAGCUACAUCAUCAAUAAAGACAGAGGUAGCUACAUCAUCAAUAAAGACAGAGGUAGCUACAUCAUCAAUAAAGACAGAGGUAGCUACAUCAUCAAUAAAGACGGAGGUAGCUACAUCAUCAAUAAAGACGGAGGUAGCUCCAUCAAUAAAGACAGAGGUAGCUACAUCAUCAAUAAAGACGGAGGUGGCUCCAUCAUCAAUAAAGACAGAGGUAGCUACAUCAUCAAUAAAGACGGAGGUGGCUCCAUCAAUAAAGACAGAGGUAGCUACAUCAUCAAUAAAGACGGAGGUGGCUCCAUCAAUAAAGACAGAGGUAGCUACAUCAUCAAUAAAGACAGAGGUAGCUACAUCAUCAAUAAAGACGGAGGUAGCUCCAUCAAUAAAGACGGAGGUAGCUCCAUCAAUAAAGACAGAGGUAGCUACAUCAUCAAUAAAGACGGAGGUGGCUCCAUCAAUAAAGACAGAGGUAGCUACAUCAUCAAUAAAGACGGAGGUAGCUCCAUCAUCAAUAAAGACAGAGGUAGCUACAUCAUCAAUAAAGACGGAGGUAGCUCCAUCAAUAAAGACAGAGGUAGCUACAUCAUCAAUAAAGACGGAGGUAGCUCCAUCAAUAAAGACAGAGGUAGCUACAUCAUCAAUAAAGACAGAGGUAGCUACAUCAUCAAUAAAGACGGAGGUAGCUCCAUCAAUAAAGACAGAGGUAGCUACAUCAUCAAUAAAGACGGAGGUAGCUCCAUCAAUAAAGACAGAGGUAGCUACAUCAUCAAUAAAGACAGAGGUAGCUACAUCAUCAAUAAAGACGGAGGUAGCUCCAUCAAUAAAGACAGAGGUAGCUACAUCAUCAAUAAAGACAGAGGUAGCUACAUCAUCAAUAAAGACGGAGGUGGCUCCAUCAAUAAAGACGGAGGUAGCUACAUCAUCAAUAAAGACAGAGGUAGCUACAUCAUCAAUAAAGACGGAGGUGGCUCCAUCAAUAAAGACAGAGGGAGGGAGAGCAGACCUUUGAGAUGCGGGUGGUGGUCGUGGUGA
ensembl:lncRNA